rnacentral:rRNA from 1 species
UACGUAGGGUGCGAGCGUUGUCCGGAAUUAUUGGGCGUAAAGGGCUCGUAGGCGGUCUGUCGCGUCAGGAGUGAAAACUCGGGGCUUAACGUGGAGCGUGCGGUCGAUACGGGCAGACUUGAGUUCGGUAGGGGAGACUGGAAUUCCCAGUGUAGCGGUGAAAUGCGCAGAUAUUGGGAGGAACACCAGCGGCGAAGGCGGCACUCUGGGCUGGUACUGACGCUGAGGAGCGAAAGCGUGGGUAGCGAACAGG